ensembl:snRNA U2 U2 spliceosomal RNA
AUCGCUUCUCGGCCUUUUGGCUAAGAUCAAGUGUAGUAUCUAUUAUCAGUAUAGUAGCUAUAGAUAGGUAUCUUACCAACAACUGAUAGGUAUCCCAAGAAUACCAUAAAAGACAAGAUCUUUUUCAAUAGUUCUAAGAGAGCUAUU